rnacentral:rRNA from 1 species
UUUUCCGCGCCGUAGCUAACGCAUUAAGUGCCCCGCCUGGGGAGUACGGCCGCAAGGCUAAAACUCAAAGAAAUUGACGGGGGCCCGCACAAGCGGCGGAGCAUGCGGAUUAAUUCGAUGCAACGCGAAGAACCUUACCAAGGCUUGACAUAUACUGGACCGCAUCAGAGAUGGUGUUUCCCUUCGGGGCUGGUAUACAGGUGGUGCAUGGUUGUCGUCAGCUCGUGUCGUGAGAUGUUGGGUUAAGUCCCGCAACGAGCGCAACCCUUGCCCUAUGUUGCCAGCACGUGAUGGUGGGGACUCGUGGGGGACUGCCGGGGUUAACUCGGAGGAAGGUGGGGAUGACGUCAAAUCAUCAUGCCCCUUAUGUCUUGGGCUUCACGCAUGCUACAAUGGCCGGUACAGAGGGUUGCGAUACUGUGAGGUGGAGCUAAUCCCUAAAAGCCGGUCUCAGUUCGGAUUGGGGUCUGCAACUCGACCCCAUGAAGUCGGAGUCGCUAGUAAUCGCAGAUCAGCAACGCUGCGGUGAAUACGUUCCCGGGCCUUGUACACACCGCCCGUCACGUCAUGAAAGUUGGUAACACCCGAAGCCCAUGGCCUAACCACCGCUUGUGUGGUGGGGGGAGUGGUCGAAGGUGGGAUUGGCGAUUGGGACGAAGUCGUAACAAGGUAGCCGUACCGGAAGGUGCGGCUG